rnacentral:rRNA from 1 species
GCGCGAAAACUUUACAAUGCACGAAAGUGUGAUAAGGGAAUCCAAAGUGCUCAUGCACAGCAUGGGCUUUUGCCAAGGGUAAAUACCUUGGAGAAUAAGUGGUGGGUAAGACUGGUGCCAGCAGCCGCGGUAACCCCAGCGCCACGAGUGGGAGCCACAAUUAUUUGGCCUAAAGCGUCCGUAGCUGGCUUAGUAAAUCUUUUGUGAAAUCGGAAAGCUUAACUUUUCGGCGUGCAGAAGACACUGCUAUGCUUGAGACCGGAAGGGGUAAGGAGUAUUUCUAGGGAACCGGUAAAAUGGGAUAAUCCUAGAAAGACUACCUGUGGCGAAGGCGCCUUACCAGUACGGGUCUGACAGUGAGGGACGAAGGCUAGGGGAGCGAACCGG